CCCCAGGCGGGGACUUGACAGCCUGCGGGCUUUGUUCAGGACUUCGAGUUAGAGUGACCUGGGACCCUUUGGCAGAGAUGAGGGUGGCGCUCUGGGCGCAUGCCCCAGACACGCCCCAUGGAAAUCGCUCCAGGGAUCCGUCACUGAACUUAGUCUUGAGCACCGCUGGCCAGGUCUGUGCGACAGGUCCCACUUCCCCGCCCGAGUGGGGUCGCUCUGGGCUCCCUCCACGAUCUCCACCUGUGCUUUUGAAUGUUCCAGAGGGUCAGUUUCCUGUGCGGGUAAAUUCUGCGCCCAGCACCUCUCAUCUUCCUCCUCCCUCCCCGCCUCCCGGACACCCCGGGUCGCUCUGUCCCCGCCGCACUCUCAUCGCCCCCGCGCGCCCCGGCGCAGCCUCCCCGCCCUGCGCCGCUGCCCUGGGGCUCUCGGCGCCCCGGAGCCAGGGCCCCGCUGCGUCCUCCUUGCUGCGAGCUGAGUCCUCCGGAGUCCCCCGGGCCAUGAGUCUCUGCGUUGCCCCCCGCCACCCCACGGGCGCUGCUGCGGCGCUGGGGCUCGGUAGCCUCUUGGUGCUGCUCGGGCCGGGACGCGCGUGCCCCGCGGGCUGUGCUUGCACCGACCCCCAUACCGUGGACUGUCGCGAUCGCGGGCUGCCCAGCGUGCCCGAUCCCUUCCCCCUGGACGUGCGCAAGCUGCUAGUGGCCGGCAACCGCAUCCAGCAGAUCCCCGAGGACUUCUUCAUCUUCCAUGGAGAUCUGGUGUAUCUGGAUUUCAGGAACAACUCGCUGCGCUCGCUGGAGGAGGGCACGUUCAGCGGCUCGGGCAAGCUGGCCUUUCUGGACCUGAGCUACAACAACCUCACCCAGCUGGGGGCCGGCGCCUUCCGCUCGGCGGGGAGGCUGGUCAAGCUGAGCCUGGCCAACAACCAUCUGGCCGGUGUACAUGAGGCUGCCUUCGAGAGCCUGGAGUCCUUGCAGGUGCUGGAACUCAACGACAACAACCUGCGCAGCCUCAACGUGGCGGCUUUGGAUGCGCUGCCGGCACUGCGCACUGUGCGCCUGGACGGGAACCCCUGGCUGUGUGACUGUGACUUCGCUCACCUCUUCUCCUGGAUUCAGGAGAACACAUCCAAAUUGCCCAAAGCAGGAGGCAAGAGGAAGAAGCAGGCUUGUAGGAUGGCUUUGUGAGAGAACAGGCUGUAGCUGCCUUCCUCCAAGAUGUGGGAGGAGCUCCUGAGAGCUGGAGCUGGAGCUCUGAGGCCUCGAUGCCAUCCAGUGUUCACUGCCCAUGGAGGACCGGAGGGUGGCCCUGAGGGAGCUAUCCGAAGCUAGUUUCAGCGAGUGUAAGUUCAGCCUGUCUCUCACAGACCUAUUCAUCAUCAUCUUCUCUGGGGUGGCUGUGUCCAUUGCUGCCAUCAUCUCCAGCUUCUUCCUGGCCACUGUGGUGCAGUGUUUCCAGAGGUGCGCCCCUAACAAGGACACGGAAGAUGAGGAUGAUGAUGAAGAUGACUGAGCCACCUCCUCCCGCUCUUUGCUUUCCCACACUCAGCCAGUGGCACCUCUCCAAGGGAGACUGAUGCUGAAGACAGGAGCAUCACAUCACUCCAGGCAGUAAACGGGAUGGAGCUUGCCUAGAUGCACCCGCUGGGGACAGCCGAUCCCAGCGUAUAGAAUCAGCAGAGUAGAGACGCAGGAAGGAUGGAGAGAUUCACUCUUAAGCAGAGCCAGCCUCCCAGGCUGGGGGACUCGUGUGUGAAGAUAAUCAAUUCAGGCUUCAUGGCUUACAGCUUUACAACCCUCCCAAGCUGAAGUGAGAGCUCACAGCUUCUGACCUCAGAGUUGUUUGGGCCGUUCUUAUUACAAGUUGCACAAUGGACCAUGAGCCCUCUUCCCCAUGAAAGACAGUAGUGUUCUCAGUGUAGAUUCGUGUCGAGCUCCUUCUUCACAGGAGCAGGAAUCGUUUUCUUCUAUAGAAGAUCCCAGGAGCCUUGAGAUGUUAGACCAAGAACAAACACAUCUAUUUGCCAUAGACAAUGUCUGUCUCCCCUGUGUUGCUGCAAUGAUAUCUCACACCCAACGUGAUGAACGUGGGUUGAUGCGCGAUGACCUGAGCCCGCAGUCCCGAGCUGGUGGGCUGGGGACCUAGACCUGAGGCGGAGGCUCACAAGGGGACCCAGUCCUUCAGGGUGUUUUGAAGAGGGCCCUUUGGAUAUGAUUCCGUCUUGAGACCGAGUGCAUUUACUGCCCUUAUAAAUCAGACUUUGGGGGCCUCCCUGUCCCUUCUAUCCAGUGAGGACCCAGUGAGAGGGUCUAUGAACCAGGAAGGGGUCUCUCACAGGAACUCAACCAUACUGGUGCCCUAGCCUCUACCUUCUAGCCUCCCAAACCGAGAGGAAUAAAUGUUUGUUAUUUAUAAACCCUCAUGUCUGUGACUGGGGGGGCUGAGGGGGAAUAGAAGCUCAAGGAUGCUAGGACACCAUCUUUAGCUGAAAUGUUACCAAAAAAUAAAAGCUUAGGUUUUGUCAAGA